rnacentral:rRNA from 1 species
ACCUAUGGCCAUGCCACCCUGAACAAGCCUAAUCCCAUUUUACCUUGGAACCUAAGCAGGGUCGGGCCUGGUUAGUACUUGGAUGGGAGACCACCUAGGAAGACCAGGUGCUGUAGGCG